UGCGCGGAAAAUAGUUGAUAAAAACAUAGCCGCGGGCCUGAUCGAUGCAGUGAAACAGCGGGUUCCAAUCGAACAUGUUCAGCAUGAAGGGGGGCAGGGAAUUGGCCACAAACAUCUUGCCCGAUGCAAUCAUAUUGGCGCGCUG
rnacentral:ncRNA from 1 species